rnacentral:rRNA from 1 species
UGAAACGAGAAGACCACGAGUUAUGAUCCAGAGUACCACGAGACACGUGAAACCUUGUGGGAAGCAGGGAGGACCACCUCCCAAGGCUAAAUACUACCUGAUGACCGAUAGUGAAGCAGUACCGUGAGGGAAAGGUGAAAAGAACCCCGGGAGGGGAGUGAAAUAGAACCUGAAACCAUGUGCCUACAACCGAUCAAAGCACCUUAUGUGUGUGAUGAUGUGCUUUUUGUAGAACGAGCCAACGAGUUACGGUAUGUAGCAAGGUUAAGUACUUAAGGUACGGAGCCGAAGGGAAACCGAGUCUUAAUAGGGCGACUAGUUGCAUGCUGUAGACCCGAAACCGGGUGACCUAUCCAUGGCCAGGUUGAAGCGAGGGUAAAACCUCGUGGAGGACCGAACCACGUUGCUGUUGAAAAAGCAUGGGAUGAGCUGUGGAUAGCGGAGAAAUUCCAAUCGAACUCGGAUAUAGCUGGUUCUCCUCGAAAUAGCUUUAGGGCUAGCGUCGUGAAAUGUGAGUACUGGAGGUAGAGCACUGAAUAGGCUAGGGGGCAUAGCGCUUACCGAACCUUAUCAAACUCCGAAUGCCAGAUACUAUCAGCACGGCAGUCAGACUAUGAAAGAUAAGUUCCAUGGUCAAAAGGGAAACAGCCCAGAUCGUCAGCUAAGGUCCCAAAGUGUAAGUUAAGUGGAAAAGGAUGUGGGAUUUCUAAGACAACUAGGAUGUUGGCUUAGAAGCAGCCACUCAUUUCCUGCGCCGAAAAUGUCCGGGGCUCAAACUUACCACCGAAGCUACGGGUUCAUACUUUGUAUGAGCGGUAGAGGAGCGUCGUAAUCGGGCUGAAGUCGUACCGUAAGGAGCGGUGGACUGAUUACGAGUGAGAAUGUUGGCAUUAGUAGCGAGAUGUAGGUGAGAAUCCUACAGGCCGAAUAUCUAAGGUUUCCUGAGUAAAGUUUGUCUUCUCAGGGUUAGUCGGGACCUAAGGCGAGGCCGAGAGGCGUAGUCGAUGGACAAUUGGUUGAUAUUCCAAUACCACUAUAAUCGUUAUUAUCGAUGGUGUGACGGAGAAGGAUAGGAUGUGCCAGCUAUUGGAUGCUGGUCUAAGCGUUGAGGGAGUUAGAACAGGCAAAUCCGUUCUAACAAUCCUAGGGCGUGAUGGGGAAGGUUCUACGGAACCGAAGUAUCUGAUUUCAUGCUUCCAAGAAAAGCAUCUAGAAAGAGAAGUAGUGCCCGUACCGCAAACCGACACAGGUAGAUGAGGAGAGAAUCCUAAGGCCGGCGGGAGAAGCAUUGUUAAGGAACUCGGCAAAAUGACCCCGUAACUUCGGGAGAAGGGGUGCUGCA